GAUGAACGCUGGCGGCGUGCCUAAUACAUGCAAGUCGAGCGAACAGAUAAGGAGCUUGCUCCUUUGACGUUAGCGGCGGACGGGUGAGUAACACGUGGGAAACCUGCCCAGAAGUGGGGGAUAACACCUGGAAACAGAUGCUAAUACCGCAUAACAACUUAGACCGCAUGGUCCGAGUUUGAAAGAUGGCUUCGGCUAUCACUUUUGGAUGGUCCCGCGGCGUAUUAGCUAGAUGGUGAGGUAACGGCUCACCAUGGCAAUGAUACGUAG
rnacentral:rRNA from 1 species